UGCCAGAAGUGGGACUGCCAUUUCAGGCUCAUAACCUGAAGGUCACAGGUUCAAAUCCUGUCCCCGCAA
rnacentral:tRNA from 1 species